CCGGGCGGCGGCGGCGGCGGCGGCAGAAGGGACGACUGAGCCCGCGCCCGGAGUUGCCGCUCCUGCCGCCUGGCGCGGGCGGCGCCUUCCCAGCAGAGCCGCGGCGCCGCGAGCGCGGGCGCCCCCUAACGGCGGCGCGGGCGAGAGGCCAGAGGGCCCGACGGCCGCAGGGACUCAGCCGGGCGCAGCGUGGACCGCACGGAAGCCAAGCAAGGCUGCAGAGAGUGGGGAAUUACCUAAAGUCUCCGCGCUAAUUGGUCUCCAGAUAUAGACUCCUGCCAAAUCAUAUUCGCUUCCUGCUAACCAGAUCUGUCUCCUUCCAGGUGGGACCAGCUUCCAGAACUCUGCUGGGAGCUGCAGAACCAGGAGGAGGAGUCUGAUUCUCACCAGUCUUCAGAGUGAGGCCCUGUGGUUGUCCUUGGAUGUCACCAUCCUCUUCGCCAUUAUGACUCUAUAAUUAGAGAGAAUGGAUCUGACAUUAGACCAGGAAUCAGAAGCUCUGGCUCCCGUCUUUAGUCCCAGAGUGUCUCCGGGUGCCACAUCUGAGAACUUCACGGGCCUUGAGAGGCCUUGUAUGUCAAAUGGGAAUAAAGCUGCCUGACCAUAGCAUUACAGCCAGCUGGUGUGCGGGAGGCAAGACAGCUCCAGAUUCUGAGUUCUCAUCCUCCCUGAUGGCUCAGGGCUUGAAACACUCAUCAAUAAGACAUUUCAGGCCUUGGUUGUCACCCGCCUCAUUCCUAAUCCAAACCACUUCCCCUGCAUGUGUUUGCUUAUUGAGCAAGAGCUUAUUCACUUACAAAACACACCUCCUGCCUCUUCUGUCCUGUCUCUCCCAGGCUCUCCAGGUCCUAUGGCCUGUCCUUCCUAACACAUCCCAGGCCUCACUUUCCACACAUCCUCCUGCAUGGAUGACCACCCCCUCCCUCAACCCAAUGAGGGAGCACCCAUACACCCCCUACUCCCCCAAAUGCAUUGCUUUUGUCAAGGAGUUCUGCAGGAUUCUGUCUGAAAUAUGCUUAUAUUACCUUUAGAGAGUUCCUAUGUCUUACACAAGGAGCAAAUAGCAAUAUUUGUAAAGCUGCCAUAGUACAGGAUCUGUUCAUGUUCUAGGAGCUUCUGAAAUGAUUAAAAGGCAAGAAUGCUAUUUUAAACCUAUUAAAAUGUCCCUCGGGUUUCAGGAUGGUGGUGGGGGUUCAACACCUCAAUGGCUAACAGUGGAUCCAUUGUUACCC
rnacentral:lncRNA from 1 species